AAAAACUCAUACAUCAUCCUCAGUAUUUUCUCCCACAAUUUUAACAUUGUAUUGUGCCCUCGCCACAACUGGCGACCCAUUCUUCCUCGCCAGAGGCUCAAAAAUGAAAAUAUUAUUUAUUUUUCUUAGCACCUCUCUCUCUUCGCUUUGUAAAUUUUGGCGCUCUCGAGUUCACGCCAUUUUUAGAAAAGAAUAAGUGGUCGAUUUGACCAGUGUAGGGAAGGAGUAUUUUGCACGGCAUAGAUUGAAGCCCACCGAUUCAGAAUUAGUAUUCUUGAGAGGGCAUAUCCUCAUACUGGAUGAGACAUGGCAGAAAAGAACAAAAAACACGAUGAGAAAAAAGAAGUUCUUGAGAGGGCAUAUCCUCAAACUCAAGAACUCAUAGAGAUUAAGAGAGAAGCUUCAAUUGAAACGAAUGAAAAAAUAAUUGGAAAUUACCAUGAUGGAUACUACAAACUUGGAUCCAAAGCAGCAACAAUGCAUUAGCCAACUUCGCCAAGAAAUCAUUCAACGUCAAGAGCAGAGUAAUUGGUGAACAUUGUUGCAAUGUAGCACACCAGCCAUGCAACCUUUUUGUCAAUGCAAGGAUUUUUCUGUUAAGGUGUUUCUAAACUUUUCAAAUUUUUUGUCGAGGAGAAUGUAUCUUUAGCCCUUCUCUCAUUGUUUCUAGCUUAUCAUGCCUUGUUUCUUUUGGUCUUUAGUUAUGCUACUGUUAAGUAUAAUAAGUUAAAACAAAGAAAAAAACUUGUCAGACUUGCCUUUUAGGUUACUCAAACACCCCCCCCCUCCCC